rnacentral:siRNA from 1 species
UAGCUUGAGGUGGUUGGUUCU